rnacentral:tRNA from 1 species
GAUUAAAUAGCUUAUUGAGCGUGACAUUGAAAAUGUUAAGGUAGUAUUUAUAUAUUUUUAAUCA